rnacentral:rRNA from 1 species
UCCUACGGGAGGCAGCAGUGGGGAAUUUUGGACAAUGGGGGAAACCCUGAUCCAGCAAUGCCGCGUGAGUGAAGAAGGCCUUCGGGUUGUAAAGCUCUUUUGUCCAGGGAAGAAACACCGGCUCUAACACAGUCCGGGAAUGACGGUACCUGAAGAAUAAGCACCGGCUAACUACGUGCCAGCAGCCGCGGUAAUACGUAGGGUGCGAGCGUUAAUCGGAAUUACUGGGCGUAAAGCGUGCGCAGGCGGUUAUACAAGACAGGCGUGAAAUCCCCGGGCUUAACCUGGGAAUGGCGCCUGUGACUGUAUAGCUAGAGUGUGUCAGAGGGGGGUAGAAUUCCACGUGUAGCAGUGAAAUGCGUAGAUAUGUGGAGGAAUACCAAUGGCGAAGGCAGCCCCCUGGGAUAACACUGACGCUCAUGCACGAAAGCGUGGGGAGCAAACAGGAUUAGAUACCCUGGUAGUCCACGCCCUACACGAUGUCAGACCUAGUUGUUGGGGAUUUACAUCCUGAGUAACGUAGCUAACACCGUGAAGUCUCCCGGCACU